AUUAUGUACUACAUGAAAUAUAAAGAAUACAACAACCUAUCACGAUAUAUGUACGUAUAUUUUUCUACCUGUGCAGGACGAUGAAAGGCAAUCGAUUAGCGUAGAUGCGUAGUGAAUAUUGCGCGUGCACCAGCGAUACUGUUGUUUCUCGCAGUGUGAAUCGAAGAAGAAAUCAUCGGCAUCAAGGCAAACAACUCACGGAGGAAAAUUAAAUGAACAAUACGCGGCUUGCGUACUCCCUAAUCGUUGAAGCUUGACUUUGAUGUCACGGCGGAAGAUACUGAAGACAUAGCUUUCUGUCGCGUUAAUUUUUCUCACGCGAGAGUAAGGCCAGGUGGGAUGAUAUGGACAUUGCAAUGGACUUUAUCAGCUUCGUAGAUGAAUUACACAUGUUGCAGCGACUUCUUCGUAAUCACCACAGAUUUCUUUACAGGAGAGACCAGUUGUGCUUGCCAGUGCAAGCAGCAGGCGAGAUAUCGUACUGGGCGAUAAGAAAAUUGUUCUGACGUCAUUACAAGAUCCGCCUUCGUGCUGAUUGCGUCGUUGCACUUGGCUCAUUCGACGAGAAAGCGAACGGAGAUAGUCACGGAAUGAGUGAAAGUACAAUGAAAUAAGACCGCUGUCAAAAUUCACAUGCGAGGUGAAAGCACACCGCGCUUCGACAAGACCAAUCGGAAUCGCGGAGGAGAGGCCCUCGAUAUUAUCGACAUGCGCGCCGGAUAGCAGUUUUGCAAUUAAUUAAAUCAAUAGAUACUCUUUGAAGAGACAAGAAGCGGAAGUUGACACGCGACCAAAGUACGAAGAUUCUUAUGACGUCUUGGAAGAUAACGAUCCGUAGUUGCGUCACAUCCGCAAACAUUCGAAGAACUUUGGAAGAUUUCGUAUCGUGGUAUGUGUCACACGUCAAAAAUUCCCUCAAGAUACUUGAACACACAGCGUCUCCGCAAUGGAAUACAACAACAUUAUUCAUCCGUUUACGUAAUUAGAGUUUUCUAUGUAACGCGGAAUCAUUCGUCUUAAUUGAUGUUACUAAGCUGAGAUUAAAUAGCCGUAAUAUGGAUACGCUAAAACUUAAACUUCUGACAGAAGAUCGGAAAACUACCAUGUUAUUAUUUCGUCCUUUUCAGUUAACCGGGAAAUUAUUGGCACUUUAUCUCUUCGACUUCGUCGCCUUCUCGGCUUCUAAUCUUUGUUAAUUUCCCGGAUCGUCUACACGCAUUAACUACGUCACUUGUGACAUCUUAACGAUGUAAUAGCUGUCACAGCAGACGUCACAGCAUUGAUAAACGUAAGUUUUUACGCACAUCAUCUUCCUCAACGUUUGAAAAUGGUUUUUCCUUUUGUACAUGUACAUAGGUAGAUUAAGCAAUAUAUUAUUAAUAAAUGUGAGAAAGACAUCCGCGUUAAUUAUAUUUAUUAUAUAUACUGUGACAUUAUGAAAAAUCUAAUUACGAGACCAAGAGAUUAUAACAGAUAGAUGCAUGAUUAUAUUGACCAUUGAGCCAUUGAGGUCGUUCGAAUUGUGUAAUAUGAUAUGCAUAACUGCAUACGUAGUGUAAUAUAAUUAACGCGUUACUAAUUUUAGUAUAUAAAAACAAGUGCUCUUCGUUAUCUUAAGGAAAUACGUUCAAGAUGAUCCAUGUUUAAUUCAAGUACGAUUCAUUUAUUGAUAUCGUCGUGUAUUUUUGAAUGUAAAAGAUACUUAUUGUCAGGUGCUAUUGCUGAACCUUUUUAAUUUAAGAAAAUAGUAAAAGUAAUAGAAGAAGUCCAAUGUAUCUCUCUCUAAAGAAUGUAACAAUAUUUAUAUUUGAAAUGCCUUAAAAUUUCCCCUUUUCUCUGUAGAAAUCUCUAUCUUUCACCAAGCCGAAAACUCGCGCAACUUUCCGCGAUGAUUUGUCUGUCGACAGUCUCCUGAUCCAGUGCAGAACAAAACUGGACGUAUGUAAUAAAAGAAGUCUAAUACGUCUCUCUCUAAAGAAUGUAACAAUAUUCAUGUCUAUUUCAAGUAUUUAAAAAAUUCCCCCUUUUUUUCUUUGUGGAAAUCCCCAGUUUUUCAUAAACUCGCGCAACUUUCCGCGAUCAUUUAUCUGUCGACAGUCUCCUGAUCCAGUUCCGAACGAGACUGGGUGUAUGUAAUAAGAGAAGUCUAAUGCGUCUCUCCCUCUCUAAAGAAUAUAACAAUAUUCUUAUCAAUUUAAAAUACUUCAAAAUUUUCCGUUCUUUCUCCGCGGAAAUCCCCAUCAUGCACUUUGUAAGCCGAAAACUCGCGCAAAUUUCCGCGAUCGUUUAUCUGCCGACAGUUUCCUGAUCCAGUGCUGAAAAAAACUGGACGUACGUACAGAUAUAACCGCAUUAUCUCAUCGGACGGCACUUGCCGUCCGGCGCGGCGCGGCGGUGCGGUGCGAAAUGAACGUGCAUAUCCGCGCACAACGCAUGGUCGGUAUCAUGCGGCGCGCUCGGCGAACGUGCACGCGGAAAGUUUAAGCGUGCGGACGCGUGUGCGUCGCACGCGUACACGAGCGGCAGCGAGAAGCGCACACUUUGCACGUGUGCGCGCUUUCUCGCACACGCGAGCGCGCACGCGUGCGCGCGCGCGCGCCCGCAAAUCGUUCUUUCCUUCUGUCAGUGAAGACCGACGACCUUGGCCUCGUGACCAUGAGCGCCGGUUGAUUAUAUUAGCGCGAGAGCGCUACGGUAUUUCAUACUUCCCUUAUAUAUUCGCAUUCAUGGGCUUUCUCCAUAUGAUGGGGAAUUUUCUAACAAUAAGGUGAAAGGUCAGGCAAAAGUGCCGGAUUAAAAAAGCUCUUGAGAAAUAACACCGCAACUGAAUUUCUCGUUAACUAGUGUUAAUAAUUAAUUCCUUGAUAUCGGUAAUACAUUGGCCACAGGGGAUUUUUUACGGAAUAUUUUGUACCUGAGAAAUA